UUAGAGCUCAUAUGUUCUCUAAAUGUUGUCAGUUGGGACCAAUAGAGUAAUCAGUAAACUUUAAAGAGAUUAAUUAUUAAUAAAAGAGACAGACCAAUAUUAAUAAGUACAAGAGAUGACAUUUUCUUAACAUUAAUAAUUGGUCAAUUGGUACUAGAAGAUAAAAUAUCAAUUAAGAUAUUUUGUAUUACUACUUAAUAUUAUAUUAUAUAUAUGUUAUAUGUAUUUAUGUGGUGAGAAAGAAAGAAGAUGUGGAUAAGAAUGAAAGAAAG
rnacentral:lncRNA from 1 species